GCUUGGUGAGGGUCAUGUGACUGGGUGGAUGUGGCUAUGUAACAAUGUGACUAGGGGAUCAAAAGACAGAAACCCACUAACAAUGUCCUGCUGGAGCAGGGUUGGACUACAUGACCUCCAGGUCCCUUCCAGCCCUAGAUUAUCCUCUGAAGAUAAUCUACUACUACUGCCAGGGCCAAGAGAACGUCUCCCACUUACAUCCCUUGGGAAAACCCCACGCAUGAAGGCUGCACCUGCUAACAAGAGGAAACGCCUGGGCUCCACGAGGCAGAACGAAGCAACUCUGGAGCUUUCCAAAAAGGGCGAUCAUUAUUUCCUCCAAGCAGCCUCCACUUCCUUUUUUUCCCUUUCAAUACCCCCUUUUCUUUGUAGAAGGCCGGCUCGGUUCACUGCGGCUCAUUUUCUGCAGUCAAUCAGUCAUCACAUCUCCAGACAGACCACAUUUUCUGAACCCUGAGAGACUGAUUUGCCAGGCCAUACUCACCGCCCACAGAUUUCAUGGAAAAGAAAGCUGGCAAUAAACGUCAGACGACAACUUCCUACUGUCUGGUUUCCGUGCAACCGGCAGUGUUUGGAAUAUGCUUCGGUGAUGCCAAAUGCAAAAGAAAACCUCAUGAAACUUGGAAUGCAUCGGGGGCCACUAAUUUAAGGAGUAUUUAUUGAAAAGGAUCUGAUGAAAUUUGGAGAUGAUGUACUCUUUUUUUUAAUGCAUUGAGUUUCCCGAACUUGAAUACAGAAUUUAAUCAAGACACAAAUGCGUGAUGAUAAUUGCAUUGAAAGGGAGAAACCAAGGGAACUAGAAAGGUGACGGUGCUAAAGCUCCCUAAAUGCAUUAAAUCUGAUAUGGAAUGCUAUGUAGACCCUUAAUUCUGAAGCAGCUUUACCCCCACUGCGAAUGCCACUCAAACACUCCUAUGCAGGACAGAUGUUUAAAAUGGGUUGGGGGGAAUCUGCCACGGAGUCAGCUAGGGAAUCCCAUUCUACCCAUUGCCCCCUCCCCAUUUCAAUGACAAGUCUGAUUGGUUUUAAAGAAAUAUGAGAUGUGAUCGGCUAUUACGACUAUGCUAAAAAUUAUCCAGAGACCUUGGCUUGUUUGCAUCUGUGGUUCAGCUUGCCAUACCCAAUUUAGACUGCUAGUUAAAAGACCACAUUCACAAUUUCAGGAAGCCAGGAAAUCUUGUGGCACUGGCUUGUCAAAGGUACACUUGCAUGUUAAAGCGGUUUAUAGUAUAACAAAUAUUGUUAAACAGAAGUAACAUCGGUUAAAUCAAUUGAAGUAUGAAGUACUGUAUUUCGAUAACAGCUCACCUGAUUUGUCUGUGCUCAUACAGAUCAAACUGCUUGAUUGAACAGUGAAUAUAACCAGUGCACUCACCAAUUAAAAAUGGCAUAGUAUGUUUCACUGUAAAGAAUAAUAUUUACCUAGGAAACAGAUACAGUUAGUUACUGUAUAUUUAUUUUGCUAUAACAUUUGCAAUUAUCAUAGUGUUCCAUCCUGUUUCAGAGCACUAAAGCCAGUAGAGUAACCAAAACAUUUUGUCUUAAAAUGUCUAUAUACUGUAUGUUUAUCACUAAUAAAUUGUUUGACAUAUC